GGGAGGAAUACAGCGAACUAUCAGAUCUCUUAUUUUAAUUAUUUUAAUUAUCUCAUUAGCUUAAUCACCUCCUCAUCCCUUAAGCCUGGUUCACACUGGUCGUAAGAAUCGGAGAUUUCCAUUGUCUGUGGUCAUUGGGGUGUAAAAUGCUUUGUCUGUCGGAAAAGAAUACAAUAGAUCGCCGAUGAAUUACGACCAGUGUGAACCAGGCUUUAGUCA